UACCCCAUAUGCCGAGAGGUGAAAUGAAUUUCGCCUGAGGAUGAGCCCGCGUCUGAUUAGCUAGUUGGUGAGGUAAGAGCUCACCAAGGCAUCGAUCAGUAGCUGGUCUGAGAGGAUGAUCAGCCACACUGGGACUGAGACACGGCCCAGACUCCUACGGGAGGCAGCAGUGGGGAAUUUUCCGCAAUGGGCGAAAGCCUGACGGAGCAACGCCGCGUGAGGGAUGAAGGCCUCUGGGCUGUAAACCUCUUUUAUCAAGGAAGAAGAUCUGACGGUACUUGAUGAAUAAGCCACGGCUAAUUCCG
rnacentral:rRNA from 1 species